AGACACCUGGAAACAGAUGCUAAUACCGGAUAACAACAGAUGAUGCCUAUCAACUGUUUAAAAGAUGGUUCUGCUAUCACUCUUGGAUGGACCUGCGGUGCAUUAGCUAGUUGGUAGGGUAACGGCCUACCAAGGCGAUGAUGCGUAGCCGAGUUGAGAGACUGAUCGGCCACAUUGGGACUGAGACACGGCCCAAACUCCUACGGGAGGCAGCAGUAGGGAAAUCUUCCACAAUGGACGCAAGUCUGAUGGAGCAACGCCGCGUGAGUGAAGAAGGGUUUCGGCUCGUAAAGCUCUGUUGUUGGUGAAGAAGGACAGGGGUAGUAACUGACCUUUGUUUGACGGUAAUCAAUUAGAAAGUCACGGCUAACUACGUGCCCAGCAGCCGCGGGUAAU
rnacentral:rRNA from 1 species